UACGUAGGGAGCAAGCGUUGUCCGGAAUCAUUGGGCGUAAAGCGCGCGUAGGUGGCCUCAUAAGUCCGCUGUGAAAGUCAAAGGCUCAACCUUUGAAAGCCGGUGGAUACUGUGAGGCUAGAGUACGGAAGAGGCGAGUGGAAUUCCUGGUGUAGCGGUGGAAUGCGCAGAUAUCAGGAGGAACACCAAUAGCGAAGGCAGCUCGCUGGGACGUCACUGACACUGAGGCGCGAAAGCGUGGGGAGCGAACAGG
rnacentral:rRNA from 1 species